rnacentral:lncRNA from 1 species
CAUAACAGCAUAAAACACGAUGCUGCAAUCAAGAGAGCCAGACUCAAUACAUAUGAAAAGAUGAAACACACACACACACACUUCCCUAAACUAGAAUGGUUACCUUAAAAUUUUCAAACAUCUAAUCGUGCGAAAAUUCUUAAGCAGCAAAGAAAUUCAAAUAAAUGAAAAGAUGUAUAACAGCAUAAAGACAUGAUGCUGCAGUCAACCUUAAACAAGUUAUAAUUCGCAGCAUUCAAAAACAUUUUUUCCUUAAAGAAUUUGCUUCACUACACAGAAUUCUAGGUAGAUGCAUCACAAACAACACCAAAUGGAAAAGAACUGGGGGGGGGGGGAACACACACACACACACACAUACACAUACACACAAUUUAGCAAAUAAAAUAAAGGGCAACCUUAAAAAUUAUUAAUUGCACCUCUAAUUUGAUUGAAAUCGAAAAGGGACAAUUUCAAGAAGAAACCAAAUUCAAUUAAAACAAACAGUGAAGUUUUGCGUCACAAAUUAAUUCCAACUCAUCAUCAGAAAUUCAGAACUACCUUCAAACCAGAAACACAACAAAUCAAGACCCAAAAAAAAGAGAAACAAGAAAGAUGCUACCUUUGGACAACUAAGAAUUGGAGGCUCGAGAAUCUUGCUGGAUUCAACAGUGAUCUUUCUCUUUGAAAAUGGGAGAAGAGGGGUUUAUAUCAAGAAACAGAGCUACUACAAAUUCCAGAGCAGCACAGUUUGACAGUGCUGAGAUGUGGCAUCUUUGGAGCCAAGAUGAGUAGGAUUUUGGGCACCAAUUGAAUGUGAAAAUUAAAUAAAAUUAAUGGAGGUGAUUGUGCAUAGGUUAGGCAGUUGCAAAAAAUGGUUCGGUUUUUGGCUUCUUUUGCGUUUGGACAUUGUUUGUUAUGGCUACGAAUAUGCUAUCCAUUCACAACACCAUUUUUGUUUAAUUUAAAUAUUCUCUCUCUCGAUGAGAGACUUGGUUUAGGUAUUUCUUUCUGGUCUGCUAUUAGAUGUUAUAGUUAUUCUGAUUCAAG